rnacentral:rRNA from 1 species
AGCAGCCGCGGUAAUUCCAGCUCCAAUAGCGUAUAUUAAAGUUGUUGCAGUUAAAAAGCUCGUAGUUGAAUUUCGGGAUCAAUUAAUUGGUCGUGCCUCUGGUACGUACUGAUUUUAUUGGUUUCUCCCUUCUGACGAACCAUGAUGUCAUUAAUUUGAUGUCGUGGAGAAUCAGGACUGUUACUUUGAAAAAUUAGAGUAGUUAAAGCAAGCUAACGCUUGAAUACAUUAGCAUGGAAUAAUGAAAUAGGACGUUUUAUCCUAUUUUGUUGGUUUCUAGGAUCGACGUAAUGAUUAAUAGGGAUAGUUGGGGGCAUUAGUAUUCAAUUGUCAGAGGUGAAAUUCUUGGAUUUAUUGAAGACUAACUACUGCGAAAGCAUUUGCCAAGGAUGUUUUCAUUAAUCAAGAACGAAAGUUAGGGGAUCGAAGACGAUCAGAUACCGUCGUAGUCUUAACCAUAAACUAUGCCGACUAGGGAUCGGAUGAUGUUAAUUUUUAAUGACUCA